rnacentral:rRNA from 1 species
UGGGACGCAAGGGAACACACUGUGCUUGCACACCGUGUUUUCUUGAGUCGCGAACGGGUGAGUAACGCGUAGGUAACCUGCCUAUUAGCGGGGGAUAACUAUUGGAAACGAUAGCUAAUACCGCAUAAUAUUAAUUAUUGCAUGAUAAUUGAUUGAAAGAUGCAAGCGCAUCACUAGUAGAUGGACCUGCGUUGUAUUAGCUAGUUGGUAAGGUAAGAGCUUACCAAGGCGACGAUACAUAGCCGACCUGAGAGGGUGAUCGGCCACACUGGGACUGAGACACGGCCCAGACUCCUACGGGAGGCAGCAGUAGGGAAUCUUCGGCAGUGGACGAAAGUCUGACCGAGCAACGCCGCGUGAGUGAAGAAGGUUUUCGGAUCGUAAAGCUCUGUUGUAAGUCAAGAACGUGUGUGAGAGUGGAAAGUUCACACAGUGACGGUAGCUUACCAGAAAGGGACGGCUAACUACGUGCCAGCAGCCGCGGUAAUACGUAGGUCCCGAGCGUUGUCCGGAUUUAUUGGGCGUAAAGGGAGCGCAGGCGGUCAGGAAAGUCUGGAGUAAAAGGCUAUGGCUCAACCAUAGUGUGCUCUGGAAACUGUCUGACUUGAGUGCAGAAGGGGAGAGUGGAAUUCCAUGUGUAGCGGUGAAAUGCGUAGAUAUAUGGAGGAACACCAGUGGCGAAAGCGGCUCUCUGGUCUGUCACUGACGCUGAGGCUCGAAAGCGUGGGUAGCGAACAGGAUUAGAUACCCUGGUAGUCCACGCCGUAAACGAUGAGUGCUAGGUGUUAGGCCCUUUCCGGGGCUUAGUGCCGGAGCUAACGCAAUAAGCACUCCGCCUGGGGAGUACGACCGCAAGGUUGAAACUCAAAGGAAUUGACGGGGGCCCGCACAAGCGG